GUCUAAAUUGUAUUCUCUAGUGGCUGAAAAAAAACUUGGAAACAAGUAUUUUCCGAAAACGCCGCCGGCUAACAAUGAUUAACUUUUUCGCAGAGUGUGGUGAGAACUUCCAGAAGAAGUCGUCAUCAUCGCCAGCAGUGGGAAGGAAUUACUGCUUCCUUCGCAAUAGAGUGCUGGAACGACAACCAAGUUUUCUUCCUAUUCCGUUUCCUAUAUUCUUCCAUGAUAAAGUUGGAGGAGCUAGUGAGCAGCAGAUUCAGCUGUUACAAGUGUUGUCCGGUACAGUUGGACAGGAUGUGUGGGAUUAGGGGGAUCAGGCCAAAGAGAUGGCCGAUGCUAAUAAGGGCUUCCAACGGUAGCACGAUCCGGAUCGAGUUCAGUGGGCAAUGGAACGGGAAGGUCGCCGGACACGUAGAAAGUGGCUGAAUUUGAAGUGUCUCUGAUUGAGUUAGCCUAGGAUGCGCAGCAAGUUUUCGUCGAUGUUUCCGCGAUAUGGAGUACUGGAAAAGUUCCAAAACUGGCACGCCUACGUCACGGAAUGGUUGGUUCAAGAGGGGAAGCUGGCAGCAAAAGUCUGAAGAUUUCCCCGAUAUCUGCGUCACCAUGUUGAAGUCACCAAGAAAUAAACGUUCUUCAUUAUUGUUGUUUUGCUACU